AGUGAACGCUGGCGGCGUGCCUAAUACAUGCAAGUAGUACGAAGUGGCGCACGGGUGAGUAAUAUAUAGUUAAUCUGCCCUACACAGAGGAACAACAGUUGGAAACGACUGCUAAUACCUCAUAGUGUAGGAUGAGACUAUAUCGUAUCAGCUAGUUGGUAAGGUAAUGUCUUACCAAGGCUAUGACUCGUAACUGGUCUGAGAGGAUGAUCAGUGACAUUGGAACUGGGACACGGUCAAAACUCCCACGGGAGGCAGCAGUAAGGAAUAUUGAGCAAUGGGGGAAACCCUGACGCAGCAACGCCGCGGGGAGGAUGAAACUUUGCGGAGCGUAAACUCCUUGUAUCAGGAAAGCGGUACCUGAUGAAUAAGCACCGGCUAACUCCGGGCCAGCAGCCGAGGUAAUA
rnacentral:rRNA from 1 species